GGCGUAAAGGGCUCGCAGGCGGUUUCUUAAGUCUGAUGUGAAAGCCCCCGCCCUCUACCGGGGAGGGUCAUUGGAAACUGGGGAACUUGAGUGCCCUAGAGGAGAGUGGAAUUCCACGUGUAGCGGUGAAAUGCGUAGAGAUGUGGAGGAACACCAGUGGCGAAGGCGACUCUCUGGUCUGUAACUGACGCUGAGGAGCGAAAGCGUGGGGAGCGAACACGAUUAGAUACCCUGGCAGUCCACGCCGUAGGCGAUGAGUGCGAAGUGUUAGGGGGUUUCCGCCCCCUAGAGCUGCCGCUAACG
rnacentral:rRNA from 1 species